GGCCCCGCCCGCGCCGCCCCCGCGCGCUCGCGACCCCGGGAGGCCCGGUUCUUGCUCGCGGGGGUCUCGGCGAGUGGCGUGCGUGCGAUCGGCCCUGCCCUGCCCCGGGACUGCCGCGUAGCAGGGAGGGCCCGGGCUGCGCCCCGAAACUGCCAAGCCCGGGGCGGGCCGCGCCCCGAUCUGGGCAGUUGAAGAGUUGGGGAGAUUUACUGCAGGCUGGCUCCAUCCGACACCCUCCCAGGUGGUCACUGCAACCUGUCACUUCCUUCUCCCUGCGGCCACUUUGGAUUCCCCGGAGAGUCCGGUCACCUCUGUGCUUGGUACCUGGAUCCUCCAGCAAGGCUCCGCCCACCAAGGCACUUCAUACUCACUUUCUCCUUGUUAGGCAACGGGAACGAGAAACAUGGUCUCCACUGUUCCUGCCCUCAGGGGUGUCAACCUAACCUUAGAACAGAAGAGAGUGAAAAGGCCGGGAGCAUCAGGCCAGGUUUGGAAUGUAUGCCAAGGUUACCCUCAGUAAGGGAGCUGACGUUACAGUGUAAUGAGUGAACUCCUCUGAUGUCUUUGAAACUUUUAAGUAAACCUAAAAGCCCAGAAUAAAAAGGGAACUGUAAAAGUC